UUUUCAUUUUGGUCUUGGGAAACAUUGAUUUAUAUUUUGAGGUUUGGUUUGUUUGAUCAACUAUUCUAAAAGGAGAAAAUAGAAAAUUAUAAUGAUAUCUAAAAAUACAAUUUGAUUUAUUUAAAAAAUUACCUUAUACUUUAUUUAACUCUUUAAUAUGAAAAUUUAAAAACAUAUAGGAAAGUAAGAACAGUAGUAUAAUGAACCCCAUUAUACCAUCACAAAGUGUCAACAGCAACACAUGGCCAUCUUGUUUCACGUAUAUUCUAAACCACUUCUCCCCUCUCUCCACCAGAUUUUUUUUUGAAGCAAAUCCCAGAUAAUUAUAUUUUAUUCAUAAAUAUUUCAAAAUGUAUCUCUAAAAGAAUUCUUUUUAAUAUAAUUGCAGUAUCACUAUCAUAUAAAAAUUAACAAUAAUUCUUUAAUACUAUUAAAUAUUCAGUCAGUAUGCAAACUUAGAAGUUAACUUAAGAUGAACAGACAGUAACAAUAAAUUUUCCUAACCCAGAACAUGGUAUGUUUUUUUAUUUGUUCAUGUGUAUUUUUGUGUAUUUCAGAAGUAUGUUAUAACUUUUUCAUAUAGAUUAUGGACUUUUAAAAAUAAGUUUUCCCCUAAGUAUUAUAUUUUAUUUAUUUUGGCUUAUUCUCUGCUGUUUUCAGUUUAUUUAUUUAUUUGAGUAGUUGACACACGUUAACAUUACUUCCAGGUGAUGCAGGAUUCCAGUUAUUCUUUGCUGUUUUAAAUGGGGUCUUCCCUUCCGUUAUAUCUUCUAACUUGUUACUGUUGGUAUAUUUCAAGUUUAUUAAUUUUGAUCUUUAUUAAGGUAUAAUUUAUAUGCAACAACAUGCACAGAUUUUAAGUGUAUGGUUCAAUGAGUUUUAAUAAAAGUGUAUACUGAUUUAACCACCAUUCCCAUUAUUGAUUUUUAUACAUUGAUUUUAUAAUCUGUUAACUUACUAAAUUCUAUUUUUAAAUAUAUACUUUAAAAGGUCUUACUAGCUUUAGGCCAGUCAUUUUAAAAGACAUCAUAUUCCAUUUUGUUUUUUUAGUUUUACUUCUCACUCUAUCCCAUCAUGCCACAAAGAUUUUCCAGUCAAUGCUGUUAUAGGAACAGAUUUACUGUCAAAUUUUGACUGCUCCUAGAGAUUUAAAUUGUUUUUUUACAAGAAUAAAGAAACCCAAUCCUCUUUGCAACAGGUGUCAUGCUAAAUACAAGUUUACUGCUGUAAGCAGCUAAUAAUAAUUGGAAUGUGAGCUGACUCAAGAAUAGAAAUCCUGCUCGUUAAUAUUUGCUUCAGAGAAAUAGGCUCAAAUGUUCUUCUCAAGUCUCAGUGUGUCCAUGACCUGGAUGUUUAGAUGAAUAAAUUUAUAGUUGAUUCCAAUACUAAGGUUGCCAUUACUCAGAGAAUUCCAAGUGACCACUAUCUGGAAAAAUGUGUUUACCAAGCCCCAGCUGUUGUGCUUAUGAAUACUUAGAAGUUACAGUGACUGGUAAUGGUCUCAGUGCACCCCCACAUACACACCAAAUGUGACAAUUUAUCCGAAAGUUGAAAGUCAGCCAACUCACUUGCCUAGCUGAGACCAGAAUAAGAGCAGCAGUUCUGCAUGGGAGUGAGAGCUUUCCAGGCUGUGUCUCCCAGAGCCAUCAAUACCAUGAGGAUAGACUGUGACCUAGGGGGAAGGUAAUGAGCAAUAUAUGGAUCCAGGUUGUGGGGGCAGAAGAGUAAGUCAUACUGGCUAGAGGAUGAAAGCAGAAAAUAAUGGGGUUUUCCAGAAGUUCCUAGAGUCAAAAGAGACUAUAACACGUGAGUUAUUCCUUCAUUUUUGUCUUAGUUUGUGGUUGUGAAAAAGCAGACCCUAAGCAAAGAUUUGGGUACAAGUAGUUUAUUGGGAGAAAAGGUGUGAUCUCCAGAAGCAUGGUGAAGGAAGGAAGGAAAGGGUUACUGCUGUGGGAAACCCAAGUCUUCAUCUCACUGGGUACUUCCUGACAUAUUUGGUAAAGCAAGCCUCAGAACAGUCCUACUGAGAGCUGAGGACACAGAGAUAUUUAUAUGCUAAUUUCCAUCUCAUAUCAGUUCAAGGUCGCUGUAAGGGAAGGGAUGAGAGUUAACACUGGGCACUUCUACACUCUCCCACAUACAGACCAAGCUUGUUUUCAUGGGUGGAGUGCCCUCUGGCAAGAGGUUGUAUGGGAAUUAUUUAUAAGCAAUUUCCAGGGUAGACGAAGAGGUAACUUUAAUUCUAUACCGCUUGUGAUUGUUUUUCAUGUGUGAGUUUCAUUCAUCAGCAGGAAUGGAAACUCUCAAUGCAUGGGCCACAGCUUAUAUUUGUAUUGCUUCCUCUAUAAAUUCUGGCUAGCUCCUUGCUACUGCAAGAUUAAAUCCACUAAGCCCACCGUGUAGGCCUUGGCCAGAUGUCCUCUCCAGAUUUCUCUUUGUGGUCCACUUUCUCAUUUCAGGCACUCUAGUCAUUCCAUUUACCUCAAGUGCCUAGAAUAUCUCUUAUUCCCUUGUCAACACCGAUCAUCUUUCAAGAUGAGCUAAGUAACUCUUCUUUCAUAAAAGAGUUCCGUGUUCCACACAAGUAGAGUAAUCCUGUCCUCUCUUGCAAACCACUACCUGGCUCUCACCUCUACUAUACAAUUUAUCACACUGUACUGAGGUUACAUUUUUAUGUAUUAGUCUUGCCUACCAGAGUAUGAGUUCAUUGAGAAAGUAAACUGUAUCAUACAUUUAUCUGCAGCCCUUAGUUUAGUGCCUGAUAUAGAGUAAAUGCUCAAAAAAUUUUUUGAAUGAGUAAAUGAACAUGACCAAUAAAUACUUCCUGAUUAUGUGAAAUAAGAUGCUGGACAUACCUGCUUUGGACACUUCUAAUCAUGCCUCUCAAAUAUCUGUGGAUUGAAUGGAGAAUAUUCU
rnacentral:lncRNA from 1 species